rnacentral:rRNA from 1 species
GAUGAACGCUGGCGGCGUGCCUAACACAUGCAAGUCGAACGAUGAAACCGCCCUCGGGCGGACAUGAAGUGGCGAACGGGUGAGUAACACGUGACCAACCUGCCCCUUGCUCCGGGACAACCUUGGGAAACCGAGGCUAAUACCGGAUACUCCUCGCCCCCCUCCUGGGGGGCCCGGGAAAGCCCAGACGGCAAGGGAUGGGGUCGCGGCCCAUUAGGUAGUAGGCGGGGUAACGGCCCACCUAGCCCGCGAUGGGUAGCCGGGUUGAGAGACCGACCGGCCACAUUGGGACUGAGAUACGGCCCAGACUCCUACGGGAGGCAGCAGUGGGGAAUUUUGCGCAAUGGGGGGAACCCUGACGCAGCGACGCCGCGUGCGGGACGGAGGCCUUCGGGUCGUAAACCGCUUUCAGCAGGGAAGAGUCAAGAC